UUCAUGAUAACAAUUUAAAUUUACAUACAAAAUGGCGUUAAAUUCCAAGACGUCACACAGCGUCAAUUGACCAGUAAGGGUCAAUGAAUAUGCAACAUGUGGUUAUUGACAUUUGUUCAGCAAAAACAAACCGGUUUUUUGUAUUAAUUAUCUCGAUAAUUAUGCAAAUCAUUUAUCGACAGUAUUUCUCUUAAUUUUACUUACUUAUCUGAACUUAAAAGUGUUCACAAUAUUUAUGAAAAUAAAUAGUGAUUAAAACAAAAACUUGUUAAGGUUAUAAUAAACAAUUGUGAGUUUUUAUGAUAAAUGUUAGAAAAAAGUUUGUUGAAAAUAUUAGUGAAUAAUUUAAUUAAUAUACAAUAAUGAUCCAAAAUAUUCAGUUAACCAUAAAAUACAUUACAACAAAAAGUUGCUUCGUAUAUUUAUCACAUCAUUUAACUAAUAAAUUACCACCAACCGUGCAAGUGGUGAAAGUAACUCAUGUUGAUGAUGUAAAUGAAGUUUUUUAUUUUUCAUUUAAUCGUUCACAAUCAUUCAGAGAUAACAAUUCAAUAGGAAUUUCUUCAACUUUUGCUCAACUACUAGACUUUAGAGAAGGUAUUUAUGUAAACAUUACAUUUGUAGAUAACCUACCAACUUUAUCAUCAAUCGAUGUUAUUCCUCGAAGCGAAGAAGAUCUUGAAAUAGUCAAAUUACGCUCGAAUAAAUUGCAAGGAAUUAUUUUACAACAAAUAAAUGUUGUUACUUUAAAUCAACCAAUUGUUAUUUGGCUGUCGAAAAAUUUGAAUGUUGUUUUGUAUGUUGAUAAAUUAUCACCCAAAUUCAAAUACGGAAAAUUAGUCGAAUUUACUGAAGUUAAUGUUCAAGAGUCAAUUAAAGAUGAUAAAAGAUCACACAAAGUACAAAAAAGUAACGAUUUGGAUACAGUUAAUGAUAAAUAUUCUCUAUCAAUUGUUAGAAUUAAUCCACUGCCAACUUUAAUUGAAGAAGUGAUUUGUAAUAAUUAUAGCCCAACGAACAAAAUUUAUUGUGAUUUGAAUAUUUUCAUACAUUUAUCUAAAGCAAUUAAAAUAUCUUCAGGUGUGGAAACAUGUGAAUACUUUUUUUGUAAAUUGGAAAAAGUACAAAAUAACAAUGAACAAAGACGUUUAAUAAUGAAUGAACAAAAAGAUUGGUUCAACAAUAGAGAAAUGAUCAUAAAGGUGAUAAUUAUUGAAAAUAUUAAAAACUUUGAUGAAUUUUGUUGCCAACAAUUGAAUACAAUAAACGACAAUAAUGUAUUUGCAUGUCGAAAUUUACUAAGACAGCUGGAUUUAAAAUUAGGUAGUAAAGUAUUUUUUAAGAAAAUUACUGUUGAGAAGCAAAAUGUAACUGAAAUUAAGUUAAUUCCCAUAAAUAAUGAAAUUAGUCAAGAACUUUUUGAUUCUUAUAUCAAGCGAUUCGAUGUUUAUGAUGAAAUUUUAAUUAAUUCAAAUACACAAAUAUUUUUAUCACCAGAAGUCAGUUGUGAAAUUAAACUCGUUCCUGAAACAAUCAAUUACAGUUUAGUCAAGAUAGAUAAGAUCAAAACACUACCACUUAGAAUUCUUCCUAAAAUCUUUAAUAACUCUUUAUCAUCUGUUGGACAAGAAAACAUAAAAUCACGAAUUAUUUUAACAAAUGCGAUCAAAAAAAUUAUAAAUGAUUGUAAACUAGUUUUUGAAUUAAGGUUGAAAACAUGUCAAUCAUCAGAAAUUAUUUACAACAAAGAAAAUAUUUUAAUCUGUGGAGGCACUGGAACAGGAAAAACAAUAUUGUGCGAAAUUAUUAAACAACAAAUUCAACAGCCACCGUAUUUAUUUCAUGUUGAGACAAUAAAUUGUAAGAAAUUAAAAGGGAAAAAAGUAGAAAUUGUACAGAAAUUUUUGAUUUCAACAAUGUCUAAUUGUGCUUAUUAUCAGCCAUCUUUAUUAAUUUUUGAUAAUAUUGAUUGCAUCACAAACAACGAUGUUAGUGAGUAUGAAGAAAAUACUCCUGAUUCAAUAAAUGCGGCAAGAAUAACUGAUUCAAUAAUAAAUAUCGUUACAAAUUUUCAAACAGCUCAUUGUUUAAAUGUCAUUGCUACUUGUUUAAAUAUAAGUAGACUUGGAAAUCAAUUUAAAACACUUGGAGGAAUAAAGUUUUUCAAUUUUGUGUACCAUAUACCAAUUUUGGAGAAAAAAGAUCGUCUUAAAAUUAUUCGAGCAAAUUUGGAACAUAAACAGUUAGAUUUUGAUACAACAAUCGAUUGGGAUUUUAUUGGUGAUAAAACAGAAGGCUUUAUAGUUCAAGAUAUAGUUGAUUUGGUUGAAAAAAUAUCUUAUGUAGCUUGGAGGAAGUCAGUUUAUAAUUCGAAUGAAAAAAAUGAGAUAACAAUAACCAAUAAUGAUUUUGUAGAAGUUACUAAGAACUAUAAUCCUAUCGCUUUACAUGGAGUUUCAUUAUUUACUGAAACUGGCUAUAGUUGGGAUGAAAUAGGAGGUUUAAAAGAUGUGAAAGAAUGUUUAGUUCAAUUAUUACAAUGGCCAUUGAGUUACAUUGAAUUAUUCAGUAAUGCUCCUAUUAAACAACAAACAGGAAUUUUACUGUAUGGAAUGCCGGGAACUGGUAAAACCAUGAUUGCGGGUGCAGUUGCUAGAGAAUGUGGUCUCAACUUCAUAAGUAUUAAGGGCCCUGAAUUGUUAUCGAAAUAUAUUGGUGCCAGUGAAGAAGCGGUUCGAGAUGUUUUUGACAGAGCACAAAGAGCCGCACCUUGUGUAUUAUUUUUCGACGAGUUCGAAAGUCUCGCCCCUCGUCGUGGACAUGAUUCUACAGGUGUUACAGACCGCAUUGUUAAUCAAUUGUUAACACAAUUGGAUGGUAUAGAAAGAAGAGAAGGAGUUGCAAUUGUCGCUGCAUCAUCCCGUCCAGAUUUAUUAGAUCCUGCUUUAUUGAGACCUGGUCGAUUGAACAGAUUGCUUCUAUGUCCCUUACCACAAGAGAAUGAUCGACUUGACAUUUUGAACGUUCUUUGUAAAAAAUAUCAGUUAGAUAGUGAGGACUUCGAUCUAGAGCUAUUAGCAAAAAUGACAGAAGGGUUCACAGGUGCAGAUCUGUGUUCAAUAUUUAAUCAAUCGAAAUUGGAUCUAAUCGAUGAGAAUGAUGCAAAGGUAGAAAAGAGUACGCAUGGAAAAUAUUAGAUGUGUCAGAAGAAAAAAAAAAUGAGUUUAUCAAGUUCAACUAAUGAUAGUGAAAUUAAUUUUGAAGAAGAAGCUAAAGCAAUUAGCAAUGAAGCUGCUUCCAAAAAAAUCAAAUGAAAAAUAUAUGCUAUGUUACAAUGACUUUAUUCAGUGGCAAAAAAACGUAAAACUAAUGUGAUAGAUGAAAACGUUUUAUUGGUAUAUUUUGAUGAAUUAACGAUUGAAAACAUUAAUGAAAAAUAAUGGUAAAGGACAACAAUCAAAGAACGCUGUGAUCUUAACCUGGGUUGAAAUUAACAAGUUUUUGAAAGAAGCACCAAAUCAUGCGUAUUUAGCUACAAAGUUUGGUGAACCAUUUGGAAUUAUUAUCACUCAAAGGCAUUUUUUGAAUGCGUUAGAAUCUACUCAGCCUUCUUUAACACCAACAGAAGUCGC
rnacentral:misc_RNA from 1 species